rnacentral:rRNA from 1 species
UACGUAGGGUGCAAGCGUUGUCCGGAAUUAUUGGGCGUAAAGAGCUCGUAGGCGGUCUGUCGCGUCGGCUGUGAAAUCCCGGGGCUCAACCCCGGGCCUGCAGUCGAUACGGGCAGACUAGAGUGCGGUAGGGGAGACUGGAAUUCCUGGUGUAGCGGUGAAAUGCGCAGAUAUCAGGAAGAACACCCGUGGCGAAGGCGGCUCUCUGGAACGCAACUGACGCUGAGACGCGAAAGCGUGGGGAGCAAACAGG